GUAGGGUGCGAGCGUUGUCCGGAUUUAUUGGGCGUAAAGGGCUCGUAGGUGGUUGAUCGCGUCGGAAGUGUAAUCUUGGGGCUUAACCCUGAGCGUGCUUUCGAUACGGGUUGACUUGAGGAAGGUAGGGGAGAAUGGAAUUCCUGGUGGAGCGGUGGAAUGCGCAGAUAUCAGGAGGAACACCAGUGGCGAAGGCGGUUCUCUGGGCCUUUCCUGACGCUGAGGAGCGAAAGCGUGGGGAGCGAACAGGCUUAGAUACCCUGGUAGUCCACGCUGUAAACGGUGGGUACUAGGUGUGGGGUCCAUUCCACGGGUUCCGUGCCGUUACUAACGCUUUAAGUACCCCGCCUGGGGAGUACGGCCGCAAGGCUA
rnacentral:rRNA from 1 species